AUGGCGGAGUACGGAGAGGAGGACCUCGCCGUCGCGGCCGCCAAGAUUCUGCUCAGCCUCCGGAGCAGGAAUCUCGUGCGGUGGCCGGAGUGGAUCGCCCGGCCGUCCGACGGUCUCCAGCGGCCAGAGGAGGAGGAGGAGGCCGAGCUGCCGCCGAUCCCGGAGGGAUGGCCGAAGCGGCCGCGGUCGCGGCUGCGUGCGCGGGCGGAAGGAACCGCGUGGCCUCUGUCGCUGAAGAGCCCCUUGGCGCGGCCGGGGCGCCCCGUUCUCGGCGGAUCCGGCGCGUGUUCCGGCGAGGAGGAGGAGAGGGCGUGGUCUGCCCCGAAGGCGAAGCGCGUGUCUUUCACCGCGCGGAGGCCGGAGGUACCGCCGCACUACUUCUCGUGCUCGGCAGCCGGAUCCGGCCCUUCCACCAGCGGCGCCGACCGCGCGCGGUCGCGGCGACGGGCGCGCCUGAGCGAGAAGGCGAGUGCCGCCAGGGCAAAGUCGAGCCCGGAGACGCCCUUCGACUUCGCCAACGCCGCCGGAUCAGGAGCGUCCUCGAGCGGCGACGAAGCGGCGCGGCCGACGGCGGCGCAGGGGCCUGGCGGAGGCGGAGGGCCCUCGAGCGGCAUCGAGGGGCCCGGCUCGCCGGCGAAGCGCUCGCGGACGGACCUCGCCGCCGGCGAAGCUGCGGCGGCCGCGGCUAAAGUGGAGGAGCAGAAGAUCAAGGAGGAUUACCGGGACGAGAAGGGCCACCUGCUGUUCGACCUCAACGAAGCUUGGGGUGGCAACUAA
rnacentral:rRNA from 1 species